rnacentral:rRNA from 1 species
GUGAACGCUGGCGGCGUGCUUAACACAUGCAAGUCGAACGGUAACAGGAAGUAGCUUGCUACUUUGCUGACGAGUGGCGCACGGGUGAGUAAACUAUAGUUAAUGUGCCUCGAAGACUGGGAUAGCCACUGGAAACGGUGAUUAAUACUAGAUACACCUCUUUAGCUCAAGCUGGGGAGGGAAACGUUUUUUCGCUUCGAGAUCAGACUAUAUCCUAUCAGUUAGUUGGUGGGGUAAAGGCCUACCAAGGCGACGAUCCGUAGCUGGUCUGAGAGGAUGAUCAGCCACACUGGGACUGAGACACGGCCCAGACUCCUACGGGAGGCAGCAGUGGGGAAUAUUGCACAAUGGAGGAAACUCUGAUGCAGCAACGCCGCGUGGAGGAUGACGCAUUUCGGUGUGUAAACUCCUUUUAAGAGGGAAGAUAAUGACGGUACCUCUUGAAUAAGCACCGGCUAACUCCGU